rnacentral:piRNA from 1 species
UGAAAAAAGCUCCUUAGGAUCAGACAAUU